rnacentral:rRNA from 1 species
UACAGAGGUCCCAAGCGUUGUUCGGAUUCACUGGGCGUAAAGGGUGCGUAGGCGGUCGGGUAAGUCUGACGUGAAAUCUCCAAGCUCAACUUGGAAAUGGCGUCGGAUACUAUUCGGCUGGAGGAAUGGAGGGGAGACUGGAAUUCUCGGUGUAGCAGUGAAAUGCGUAGAUAUCGAGAGGAACACCAGUGGCGAAGGCGAGUCUCUGGACAUUUCCUGACGCUGAGGCACGAAAGCCAGGGGAGCAAACGGG